GCCGUUUUAAUAGCAAUAACUCACAUUAUUCAUGCUAUAUAGAAAAACAUCAAAUAAUUCAGAGAAAAUAUAAAAGUUGAAAAAAUUGCCCUUUCAUGAACAGGUCACGCUAAAAAUCAUUGCACAUGUCGAUAAAAAAGAAUUCUCCAAUUAUCUUCAUUAUUUGCUUUCAAAGAUGGUUUUAAAAAGGUUUGUAACUUUAGGAAAUGUUAAUCUUUACUUAAUUACUCUGCAAAGACCUUACAAAGUCUGGUUUGACCUUGAAGAUUAUUCCGGAAACACAGUUUGUGCUAUCAACUAUAGAUUUAGCGUUGGUGACGAGGGAACAUACUAUCUAUCGAGCAUUUCUGGGUAUCAUGGAACAGCAGGUUUUACAUAGUCCUUCUACGGUACAAAUUUAAUACAUAGCCCUACUUAGCUACUAAUAUUAUACAUAAUCGUACUAAGGUAAUAAAGAUAUACAUAGUCCUACUAAGGUUAUACAUAGCCCUCCUAAAAGUAAACAUAUUCCUUCUUAGGAUAUACUUCGGUACUGGCAAGAAAAUACGGAUUUUUUGUUAUUUAAAUACAAAAUAAAAAAAUUAUCUUAAAUUAAGGAAAAUAUCUCCCUCAUGCAAAUCUUUGAUUCCUUAACUGGCUUUGGCUAUACUUUGUGUACCUAUCUGAUGUAUAGCUCUUCAUUCUUUUAGAUACGCUUUGGAUUUUAAAACAUUUUGAACUCGAACAUCACUGAAUAGACAUUUAUUGUCGACAUGCGUGCAAAAAAAAAUGUUACCGUUAAUGUUAUUAUACAUUUCCUUUCUACUAAGUACUAAUGUUAUACAUAGUCCUACUUAUGUUAUACAUAGACCUAUUCAUGCUAUUAGAAUAAUACAUAGCUCUACGGAGGUUAUACACAGCUGAAUAUUAUACAUACUAGUAGCCUCACUAAGAUUAUAUAUAGCCUUACUUGGGUUACACAUAGCCUUAUAUCGGUAUUCCACAACCCUAAUAAUAUACACAGCCCUACUAAGGUAAUAUAUUUCCAUACUAAGGUUAUAUAUAGCAAACUUAAAGUUACAUAGCAUAAGCACUAAUAAGGUUAUACAUAGUUCUAAUAUUAGCCAUAGCAAUAUUGUAUCAUACAUAGCCCUAUUUAGGUUAAACAUAGCCUUAUUUAGGUUAUGCACAACCCUAAUCAUAUAUACACCCAUACUAAGGUAAUACAUAGCCAUACUAAGGUUAAAUAUAGCCAAAGUAGUUUAAACAUAGCCACUUUAAGGUUAUAUAUAGCCAAAUUAAGGUUAAAAUAGCCCAACUAAGAUUAUACACAGUCCUUCUAAGUUUAUACAUAGCCUUUUAAGUUUAUACAUAACCCUUCUAAGGUUAUAGAUAGCCAUUAUAAGGUUUUACUUAGACCUAUUGAGAUUAUAAAAAGUAAAAACACAAAAAUACUGACCUCCUGUUAGCAGUAAUCAACAUCCUGACUGUGUGAACUUCCCAAUUACGUAAUUACCGAUUACACUAUACACCAUUUCUGAAUUGGUACAUUAAACAAU
rnacentral:lncRNA from 1 species